UAAGGGGUGCCCUAAUAUGACGGGCUGAGAUCAUACCCAUUGACCUGAUCCGGGUAGUGCCGGCGGAGGAAAAAGUG
rnacentral:ncRNA from 1 species